rnacentral:rRNA from 1 species
AUGCAAGUCGAACCGAUGGACCUCGGUAGCUUGCUCUAGGGGAUUAGUGGCGAACGGGUGAGUAACACGUGAGUAACCUGCCCUUGACUCUGGGAUAACCUCCGGAAACGGAAGCUAAUACCGGAUANGACGCACGGUGGCAUCUCCUGUGCGUGGAAAGAACUUCGGUCAAGGAUGGACUCGCGGCCUAUCAGGUAGUUGGUGAGGUAACGGGCUCACCAAGCCUACGACGGGUAGCCGGCCUGAGAGGGUGACCGGCCACACUGGGACUGAGACACGGCCCAGACUCCUACGGGAGGCAGCAGUGGGGAAUAUUGCACAAUGGGCGCAAGCCUGAUGCAGCAACGCCCGUGUGAGGAACGACGCCCUUCGGGUUUGAAACCUUUUUUAGUAGGGAAGAACCAAAGUACGGUCCCUGCAGAAAAGCACCGCUAACUACGUGCCAACAGCCGCGGUAUNCCUAGGGGCGAGCGUUGCCCGGAAUAUUGGCGUAAG